CCGCGUGAGUGAAGAAGGCCUUCGGGUUGUAAAGCUCUUUUGUCAGGGAAGAAACGGUGAGAGCUAAUAUCUUUUGCUAAUGACGGUACCUGAAGAAUAAGCACCGGCUAACUACGUGCCAGCAGCCGCGGUAAUACGUAGGGUGCAAGCGUUAAUCGGAAUUACUGGGCGUAAAGCGUGCGCGGGCGGUUUUGUAAGUCUGAUGUGAAAUCCCCGGGCUCAACCUGGGAAUUGCAUUGGAGACUGCAAGGCUAGAAUCUGGCAGAGGGGGGUAGAAUUCCACGUGUAGCAGUGAAAUGCGUAGAUAUGUGGAGGAACACCGAUGGCGAAGGCAGCCCCCUGGGUCAAGAUUGACGCUCAUGCACGAAAGCGUGGGGAGCAAACAGGAUUAGAUACCCUGGUAGUCCACGCCCUAAACGAUGUCUACUAGUUGUCGGGUCUUAAUUGACUUGGUAACGCAGCUAACGCGUGAAGUAGACCGCCUGGGGAGUACGGUCGCAAGAUUA
rnacentral:rRNA from 1 species